GAGGGCAUAGCUCAGUGGUAGAGUGCCUGCCUAAUGUGUACAGGGUCCUGGGUUCAAUUCCCAGUACAUCUG
rnacentral:tRNA from 1 species